GAUGAACGCUGGCGGCGUGCCUAACACAUGCAAGUCGAGCGAUCUCUUCGGAGAGAGCGGCGGACGGGUGAGUAACGCGUGGGUAACCUGCCCUGUACACACGGAUAACAUACCGAAAGGUAUACUAAUACGGGAUAACAUACGAAAGUCGCAUGGCUUUUGUAUCAAAGCUCCGGCGGUACAGGAUGGACCCGCGUCUGAUUAGCUAGUUGGUAAGGUAAUGGCUUACCAAGGCAACGAUCAGUAGCCGACCUGAGAGGGUGAUCGGCCACACUGGAACUGAGACACGGUCCAGACUCCUACGGGAGGCAGCAGUGGGGAAUAUUGCACAAUGGGCGAAAGCCUGAUGCAGCAACGCCGCGUGAGCGAUGAAGGCCUUCGGGUCGUAAAGCUCUGUCCUCAAGGAAGAUAAUGACGGUACUUGAGGAGGAAGCCCCGGCUAACUACGUGCCAGCAGCCGCGGUAAUACGUAGGGGGCUAGCGUUAUCCGGAAUUACUGGGCGUAAAGGGUGCGUAGGUGGUUUUUUAAGUCAGAAGUGAAAGGCUACGGCUCAACCGUAGUAAGCUUUUGAAACUAGAGAACUUGAGUGCAGGAGAGGAGAGUAGAAUUCCUAGUGUAGCGGUGAAAUGCGUAGAUAUUAGGAGGAAUACCAGUAGCGAAGGCGGCUCUCUGGACUGUAACUGACACUGAGGCACGAAAGCGUGGGGAGCAAACAGGAUUAGAUACCCUGGUAGUCCACGCCGUAAACGAUGAGUACUAGGUGUCGGGGGUUACCCCCCUCGGUGCCGCAGCUAACGCAUUAAGUACUCCGCCUGGGAAGUACGCUCGCAAGAGUGAAACUCAAAGGAAUUGACGGGGACCCGCACAAGUAGCGGAGCAUGUGGUUUAAUUCGAAGCAACGCGAAGAACCUUACCUAAGCUUGACAUCCCACUGACCUCUCCCUAAUCGGAGAUUUCCCUUCGGGGACAGUGGUGACAGGUGGUGCAUGGUUGUCGUCAGCUCGUGUCGUGAGAUGUUGGGUUAAGUCCCGCAACGAGCGCAACCCUUGCCUUUAGUUGCCAGCAUUAAGUUGGGCACUCUAGAGGGACUGCCGAGGAUAACUCGGAGGAAGGUGGGGAUGACGUCAAAUCAUCAUGCCCCUUAUGCUUAGGGCUACACACGUGCUACAAUGGGUGGUACAGAGGGUUGCCAAGCCGCGAGGUGGAGCUAAUCCCUUAAAGCCAUUCUCAGUUCGGAUUGUAGGCUGAAACUCGCCUACAUGAAGCUGGAGUUACUAGUAAUCGCAGAUCAGAAUGCUGCGGUGAAUGCGUUCCCGGGUCUUGUACACACCGCCCGUCACACCAUGGAAGUUGGGGGCGCCCGAAGCCGGUUAGCUAACCUUUUAGGAAGCGGCCGUCGAAGGUGAAACCAAUGACUGGGGUGAAGUCGUAACAAGGUAGCCGUAUCGGAAGGUGCGGCUGGAUCACCUCCUUUCUAAGGAGUAAUUGCCUACUGUUUAAUUUUGAGAGCUUAUUGUUCUCAAAAUUAGUACUUAAUUGUACUUUAGUACUUUGAAAACUGCAUAACAUUUAGUGAUGAUUAAAUAAACCAAUUAUAAGAGAAGAAAACUCUUUAAAAAAAUAACACUUUUAAGCAAUGGGACAUGAGUCAUAUUGACGAAUGGACAUUGGCGAAGUCAUUUAAUAACUGGUCAAGUUAUUAAGGGCGCAGGGCGGAUGCCUUGGCACUAAGAGCCGAUGAAGGACGCGAUAAGCUGCGAUAAGCUUCGGGGAGUUGCACGUAAACUUUGAUCCGAAGAUUUCCGAAUGAGGAAACUCACUUAGAGUAAUGUCUAAGUAUCAUUAAGUGAAUACAUAGCUUAGUGAGGGGAACCCGGGGAACUGAAACAUCUAAGUACCCGGAGGAAAAGAAAGAAAUUCGAUUCCGUAAGUAGCGGCGAGCGAACGCGGAAUAGCCCAAACCAGUGAAGUUUUCUUCGCUGGGGUUGCGGACACAUCAUCAACAAAGAGGUAUCGUAAACGAAGAGAGUUGGAAAGCUCCGCUAUAAAGUGUAAUAGCCACGUAGUUGAAACGAGAAGACUUUAGAUGUGAUCCAGAGUACCACGGGACACGUGAAACCCUGUGGGAAGCAGGAGGGACCAUCCUCCAAGGCUAAAUACUACUUAGUGACCGAUAGCGCAU
rnacentral:rRNA from 1 species